GCUGACGCAACUAGGAACAAAAUAAGUUUUGUAUGGAACUUGUUUCGCAAAUCUUUGCCAACGAAGAAAAAUAAAACGUCAGUGCUAUUUAUUCUGUCAAGUUUACAUCAAGUCAACUGUCAGCCUAAUUGUUUUGUUUGUUAUGAAGGCUUCAAUGUUUUGUUCGGGUAUUUCGUGCAAUUUCUUUAUUAUUUAGUGAAAAUAUCGAAAAUAGUGAACCGUGAUCAGAGUAAAGAACGAGUUUGUUACAAUGCCACCGAGAAAACGGUUUACUAAGUGUGAAAUAUGUGGCAAGCGAGCCACUCGAGAAAAUCACGAAAAAAGGGAUUUUAUGGCGAAAUUUCCCUUGGAUAAAGACCGAUGCAGGCAGUGGGUUAAAUUUGUUGGGAACGAAGACCUGGUACAUCUUCCCAUAGAAAAGUUACAUUUAUUGAAACAUGUAUCUGCAGAUCAUUUUGAAAAUAGUGCUUUUAAUAAAAAAAAAAUUAAGAAAAGAA